GAAAAUCUGUUGACGAGUUUUGCAAAUAAACGUCCAUAAAACAGCGACCAUCCAGCUCCGGGCUUCUCUGGGAGAUGGAGAUGUCAGAGCCAGAUGCCUUCUCCCCCGAGUGUGCCUUCCCAAGGUAAACAAGCACACAGUUGUCUCAACUUUCUCCUUUAGUACAAAGUUCCUGGUGCGACGGAAAAUUUGAAUAUUUUAUCAGUCUCUUGUAGUGACCCUCAUUAGGUGGGCAUCCUGCUAAGGCCUUGGCGUUACAAGAAAGCUGCCCAAUCAGAGCAUUUGCACGCCUUGUUAGCGAUGGUUAAUGAAGCUUCCCCAUGCACUCAAAGAAAGGCCCCCUCGAUGUAGAUUUACCUUAUGUCAACUCGUUACUUCUAAUGAAUCGCAUCAAAAUUCUUCUCUGAAUGGGGCCGAGGCGCCCGGACCGGGAUCCCCUCCCCGCCCGGCGGAGCCCACCCCUGCCACCGCCGGCACUUUAGCGGAGAAUCCGGGACCAAGGUGCACUUAGACGGCGGCAAGAGAGCCUGCACACCCCCCGGGGACAGAGUUUGCCUCCUGAACUACACUUCUCUUAAUGAAGAACAGUAGCUCCGACCUCCAAACCAACUGGGACUGGCGCUUUAAAGUAGCUGCGAACAGUGCUCCCGUGUCUCAACAUGGUCACGUAGGAAUUUGAACCUUUUAAUUUCCAGACACAAGGAAUAACUCCCUCGGAGCACCGGCUUGGUUUAGGUGGUCGAUUGUUGGGUGUUUCGGUCGGAGUUUUUGAAUUUUUUUUGUUUCUAAUAAGGUAGCGAGGGAAGAUGGGGUACUAUUCCCUUGUAGACACAGAACAUAAAGGGGAAGAAAAAGCCUAGCCGGGGCAUAUUUGGCUGUAGGGAACCUGCCCGAGCCGCUCUGUAUCCCCGGCGGGAUAGCGGUCGGGGCUGCGGGCGCUGCCGCCGGCCCGGCCCAGCCCUCACCCCGGCCCUGCGCGGCAGCCAACGGGCACGUCGCCUGGUGUGACCUUCAGGGAGCACAUUUCAACUGCUAAACACCGAGAAAAGUGCUUCUCUCUCUCGCAGGCGCCAUAUUACCGCCGGGAGCCGGGGCUGGGGCGGGGGGAGGGCGGGUGCGCAGUUAGUCUAGUUUUCCGCAGUUGUUAAUUCAGACUGGACGAGCACUCGAUGGCUCCAUAAAAAGAAAAAAGAAAAAAGAAAAAAAAAAAAAAAAGAGG
rnacentral:lncRNA from 1 species